rnacentral:misc_RNA from 1 species
UCUUUUUUUUUUCUCCUUUUUUUCUUGUCUAAAUAAAUGUACAUAAAUAAACAUGCUCACUAUAGUGAAGUUGUGACCAACCAGAGCAUUAAAGUGGUUGGCUAUUUUAUGAGUACUUGGAAAAUGAAUUUUAAUGAAAUAUAUUGAAAUAUCAAGUAAAAUUGCUAAUUAAUAAAAAUUAAAUGGAAUGUAAGUGUCAAUAUAAAUUAAAUUAAAAUUUCUGUUUAUCCUUUGAAAUAUGUAUAGGGAGUUUAUAUAUAGAUAAAACAAAUUCUAAAAUUCUUUAACAUUUGUGUUGAAAAAAUUAUAAUUACAAUUACGAAUAAAAUUAUGAUUUUAAGCUAUAAAACAUAUUUAUGUAUAAGUAGAAUCACAGUGCUCUAUGAUACAUAAACUAUUGGAAUCCAGCACUUUUAUGUAUAACCAAAAUAAAGUUUAUUUACAAAAAAUAAUACAGCCUAUAUUCUAAUCAAUAAACUAAUAUAUAGUAUUGGAAUUAGGAUACCUUUUAAUAUUCAGUGUUAAGAAGCCCCUCUUGACCAUGCCAUGAUAUUUGAUCACUCCUUUUGUUUGGACAAAAAUUUUCUAAACAUCUGUACUUUUGAUUGUCUGUACUCUCUAG